AACUUUCAGGCAUUCAGAUACUUUGACAAAAGUGCUGUCAUAUGAAAAUUGUGUAUCCAAGACAACUCUGUGCAUCUCUAUUGUCAUCUCUGUGAAGGCAGGUUGAUUCAACAUGCUUACAACUGCAGAGCAGUUGUCUUCGUCAUUUUCAGUGGCAAAUAUGUUGACGAGAAGGUUCUAUCAACUGUGUAAAUGAUUUCUGGAACUGUGUUUUAUUAACAAUAUGUUUGCACCAAUCAAAGUGAUACAAUUGUUCAUUGAUGAUGGUCAAAUAAAACCAUUUACAGAUACACAUAUAACGAGUGUUGUCAGAUAUUUUACCAUGUAGAUCUGGAGAAUUUUUGUUCACUCUACCACCCACUUGUAAUUAUUAUUACCACAUUAUACAUGUUUUGAAUGGACAAAGCUCUUUUAAAGCCAACAUGAAUUU
rnacentral:misc_RNA from 1 species